rnacentral:rRNA from 1 species
AGUGGGGAAUAUUGGACAAUGGGCGAAAGCCUGAUCCAGCCAUGCCGCGUGUGUGAAGAAGGCCUUUUGGUUGUAAAGCACUUUAAGCGAGGAGGAGGCUACUUGGAUUAAUACUCUAGGAUAGUGGACGUUACUCGCAGAAUAAGCACCGGCUAACUCUGUGCCAGCAGCCGCGGUAAUACAGAGGGUGCGAGCGUUAAUCGGAUUUACUGGGCGUAAAGCGUGCGUAGGCGGCUUUUUAAGUCGGAUGUGAAAUCCCUGAGCUUAACUUAGGAAUUGCAUUCGAUACUGGGAAGCUAGAGUAUGGGAGAGGAUGGUAGAAUUCCAGGUGUAGCGGUGAAAUGCGUAGAGAUCUGGAGGAAUACCGAUGGCGAAGGCAGCCAUCUGGCCUAAUACUGACGCUGAGGUACGAAAGCAUGGGGAGCAAA